UACAGUUCUCUGGGCUCAGCGCCGAGUGCGCAGCACACAAUGGUCGAAGCCUACGACCUCUCAUCGCGUCCAAACUGCCAAGUCAUCGCAGAAGCAUCAACACGGACUUCAGCUACGUCAGUAAUACCCUAUAAGGAUGGGCAGCAUACCGCAGUGUCAGCUGGAAACAUGUCCUUCAGUGCGCAAGAGGGGAGCUAACACCGUCACUGGGGGAGUGCCUGCGUGUGUUGUGCCGUGAGCUUUGUGCUGAUGGGCUGGUGACUUCAGACAUUCCCGAUGCAGUUUGCAGCAGCAUUGACAAUGCCUCUCAACACUUUCCUGAUCCAGCAGAGGUUGACCCGUGGAGAAGAUGUCACAACAGGCUGCUGUCCUGUGCUGCGCAUUCUUACCAUCACUCAGAGUCUGAAAGCAACCCACGCUACUACCACCUAGAAUUGUGGGAGGAAAGCUGCCAUGGCAGUCAAGAAUCCCUUGUACCCACUUCAUAAGCCACCAAACAGUGGUUAUCGGAUAUCAUGAGAUGAUAACAACAUUCACUUUUGGUUUCUGUGCAAUUGAUAUAUAUUUUUUUAAGAUGGCAGAGUUAUUCCAAAGUAUUGCACUGUGAGACUUCCAAUACCAAAAGUAUAGCUAAUAACUCCAUUUCCCAAUCACAAAAAAGCGUAAUGAAAGAGAAAUGAAAUUAUUAUUUCUGAGGCAUUAUGUGUUCACAUUACACUAAUUACAUUCUGUGGCAUGUGUCUGCAGCUUUUUCUCCAUUCUCUAAUUCAAGAGAUAGAGAGGGUUAUGGAAAUCCAAUGCAUCAAAGAAGUUUGAUACCAAGUGAGCUGAUAGCGUACAAAGGGGUUCAAAAAUUGGGAAUGGAUGGGAAUAGAUAACCAGUUCUGGCAUAUUCCCUGCAACCAAAGGACAACUACUAAACACAUUUGAUGGAAAUGGGUAAUGGCAUGCAUUUUAAUUCUGACAACUUUCUGAAACAGCAAUGUCAAUAUUUGUGUGUGUGUGUGUGUGUGUGUGUGUGUGUGUGUGUGUGUGUGUGCGUGCGUGCGUGCGUGCCUGCGUGUGUGUGUGUGUGUGGGUGUGUGUGUGUGUGUAUGUGUGUGUGUGUGUGUGUGUGCACAUGCAUACGUGUGUGUCUGAGAUGAAAUUAUGAAUGUAUGCGCCCAUUUAUCUUGAGAUGUCACUGUACCAUGGCUGUAUCAUCUUAUUAUGGAAAAUGAUGCACAACUGUUGCUUUUGGGAUUAUUUUCCUGUGCAUGUUGUGUUGGCUCAUACAUCCGGCUUCAUCUCACAUAUGUCUCACUGGAAACAAAGAGCUUGCUCGCCGCACAAGAAUCAUAAUAAGGUUGCAGUUGGUCAUAAAUAUAUAUGUACUGUGCCUAACUAACACUGCCUUCUUGAAACAUUAUAUCAAGAUAAUAUCUCAAAAGAGGUGCAAAUGAGAAACCAGGAUAUCUGUAGCAUACUACCAUGUUACAUAUCUCAUCCUCUGCCUGUUCUCUUUUUCUUCUCCUUUCUCCCACACUGACCACUUGCCUGCUCUUCCACCAAGAGAUGACAAGAAGAUAUUGAUCACUCUCAACAUUAUGCAAAAGCUAAGGAAAAUGUGUUGUUCUACAAAUUUGUGAGAAUGCUUUCUCCUUGACUCACUAUGCUGUCACAUGAUGCUGUCACAACUGAACUGAGACUCAACUCUGAAAAGGCCAUUCAGGAUGUCAGAAUCAUUCUCCACUUUUCCCAAGGUGUUUGUUAAUGGUAGCCUACAAUUGAAACUGUUUUCUACCUGUUGCCAGUAACAGUUCAUAGUAUAGGCAGUUCAGUACCCACUUCCAAACAAAAUAUGUAGAAAUUGUGGAGCUGCAUGCAGCAUGUCACAAACUACAACAAGCUUUUUUUGGUAAGGACAAACCCUGUUACUGAUCUUUCUAGGAGGAGUAGUGGUGAACUCAUGAAACUCUAGGCUACAAUAUUACAUAACUGUUAUUUUUUACUUGUUUUAUUGUAUAUGCUGGUCAUAAAUUGUUGCCAUAACAAUAGUAGCUCCGUUCAUCACAGCUGCAAAUGGUGGUGGAUGUUAUUAAGUAGUCACACAGACUAAGAACAUCUGUUAUAUCAGGAGCAGGCUGUUUAACAUGGUCAUACUGUC